ACACUUGGUAAUUUUCUACUUGGCCCCUAUCAUGUUUCCGCUGUAAAUCUUUUCCUUUUUGUUGUCUAAUGAACUUGAUGUUAACAGAGAAGUCAUGGUGGGUCAGCAGAGAACUUAGGUUGGAUUGAGAUAAAAUGCAAUUUCCGAAUCAUAUUUAAGGAUGUAAAAUAUGACAACUUUGUACUAUUUUCCCCUUUAGUUUCUGUAAAUGAUUUUUCUAUAUGUAAUUUUAUGUCAUAUAUCCAUAGUUUUAAAAAAAAAAGGUAUUUCACUGAUCAAAUAGAAUAUAAUAAAGUGUCAGUGAUCACCUCAUAUAGAUGCACUAUGUAAGACAUGCCUGGAGGGAAUAUUGGAGCCGAGACAGUAAGCAACAAAAUAGUUGAACCGUUACUAAACAUUCUGUAAGCUUAUUGUAAAAGUUCUUAAAAAGGCUUCACUGUUGAUUGACAUCCAGUUAGACAAAAGAAGUUUAGUGAAGUUUCUAUUCCUUUCAUUACUACUUUGGGUUUUACCCGUCCUCUCAAUUUCAGGAUUUAGAGAAUUUGGAUGAAGAUUAUGAAGCAUAGAUAAUCUAUGAUCACCAAGGACUUAGGGUGUUUUUCUGUUCAUUCUUCUUCAACUUUUUCUUAGGUUUUCUUUAUCGCUCUCUAUGGUUGCAACUGAAGAAAUCCAAUCGUCCCUCAAUCAUGCAUGGCUUGGAGUUCUAAAAACUGAAAUCAAUCCAAGGAAGCCUGUAGUUUGUAGUGGUAAUCGGGUUCGUAUAGUUUAUGAUUCUUAUCCAAAGAAGAUUGCGGUUUCUAGAAGAACGCCUCCAAGGAAGGUCCAAGUUAUUCCCCUAAUGCAGAUAAUGUACUUAUUUUCGUUCUACAUGGUAAUUGAGAAGAUUUCCAAAUUAUCGAGCCUACGGUGAGACAGUUUUUAUCAUGUUUUAGGACUCAAGCACAGAAGUUGAUGGUGUGUGAAAAUCAAUGGUCUUUCAUGCAUAAUCACUGAAUUAGCACUACUUAGAACAUACAAUCUGCUGUUAUUACAAUUGUUUGAACUUAUUUAAUCUAAAAUGGACAAUGUCAAUCUCACCCAUGGAGUUUUUAAUAUGCUGGCAAAUAAGAAGAGAAUAAUGUGGAAAGCUACCUUCUUGCAGUUGAACAAUAUAUAAACAGAGAAAUCUUAGAUGUUUUUAACAAGCAGAGCCAUUGCUGGGCGGAAUGUGUUUAAAUGUAAUAGAAUUCAUUAGUACAGUAUAGAAUUACUAAUAUGUAAAUGUAGUUCUGUUAUGUCAUAUUGCAGGUGGAGGAAAUGAUUUUUCCUUCCUUAGUGGCCUUAUUAUCAACGAUCGUGAAUCAAA